GAACUUAAGCAUAUCAGUAAGCGGAGGAAAAGAAACUAACAAGGAUUCCCCCAGUAACGGCGAGUGAAGCGGGAAGAGCUCAAAUUUGGAAACCUCGCAAGAGGUGUUGUAUUUGAGAGGACAAGGAGUAAGACUGGAGGAGCUUGCGAGGUCCUUUGGAAAGAGGCACCAUAGAGGGUGAGAGUCCCGUACGCAAGUUGUGCCAAUUUACACACUCCGUGUCCUAAGAGUCGGAUUGUUUGGGAAUGCAGUCCUAAAUGGGUGAUACGAGUCAUCUAAAGCUAAAUACAGGCAAGAGACCGAUAGCAAACAAGUACCGUGAGGGAAAGAUGAAAAGAACUUGUAACCGAGUGUCAAAAGUGCGUGAAAUUGUGGAGAGGGAAACGCUGUUUAUCUGAAGCAUGUGAGAAAAAGUGUGUCACGAGUAACAUUGUGGCAGUGUCAUUUAUUCUCAGUGACCAGGAAUAUUGUUGGUAUUGCGAGGUGCACUGGCGGAAGGUGGCUUUUGUCCUCGGAUAAAACGCUUUAUAGACGCAAGAAAGCAAGCAUUAGCAAUAAUAUAAUGCCUGGUAGCAGGUAAUCAUCGACCCGUCUUGAAACACGGACCAAGGAGUGUAACUGCACUGCGAGUCAUUGAGAACGCAAUCUCAAGGGCGGAACGAAAGUAAAUGUGUGUGAUUCAGAGUGUUGAAGCAGCACAGGCGUGUCUGAAAUAUUCCAGACAUAGUCAGAGCAGGGCAGCUACGACCCGAAA
rnacentral:rRNA from 1 species